ACGUAAGAACAGAACCCGGAAUGCGCCCGAUCUCGUCAGAUCUUGGGAGAUAAGCAAGGUUGAGCCUGGAUAAUGCUUGGAUGAGUCACCGCCAUGUUUAACAGCAGGUGUUAUAGUC
rnacentral:rRNA from 1 species